CGAUGGUGCUAUACAUGCAAGUCGAACGCUUUGUGGUUCAACUGAUUUGAAGAGCUUGCUCAGAUAUGACGAUGGACAUUGCAAAGAGUGGCGAACGGGUGAGUAACACGUGGGAAACCUACCUCUUAGCAGGGGAUAACAUUUGGAAACAGAUGCUAAUACCGUAUAACAAUAGCAACCGCAUGGUUGCUACUUAAAAGAUGGUUCUGCUAUCACUAAGAGAUGGUCCCGCGGUGCAUUAGUUAGUUGGUGAGGUAAUGGCUCACCAAGACGAUGAUGCAUAGCCGAGUUGAGAGACUGAUCGGCCACAAUGGGACUGAGACACGGCCCAUACUCCUACGGGAGGCAGCAGUAGGGAAUCUUCCACAAUGGGCGAAAGCCUGAUGGAGCAACGCCGCGUGUGUGAUGAAGGGUUUCGGCUCGUAAAACACUGUUGUAAGAGAAGAAUGACAUUGAGAGUAACUGUUCAAUGUGUGACGGUAUCUUACCAGAAAGGAACGGCUAAAUACGUGCCAGCAGCCGCGGUAAUACGUAUGUUCCAAGCGUUAUCCGGAUUUAUUGGGCGUAAAGCGAGCGCAGACGGUUAUUUAAGUCUGAAGUGAAAGCCCUCAGCUCAACUGAGGAAUUGCUUUGGAAACUGGAUGACUUGAGUGCAGUAGAGGAAAGUGGAACUCCAUGUGUAGCGGUGAAAUGCGUAGAUAUAUGGAAGAACACCAGUGGCGAAGGCGGCUUUCUGGACUGUAACUGACGUUGAGGCUCGAAAGUGUGGGUAGCAAACAGGAUUAGAUACCCUGGUAGUCCACACCGUAAACGAUGAGUGCUAGGUGUUUGAGGGUUUCCGCCCUUAAGUGCCGCAGCUAACGCAUUAAGCACUCCGCCUGGGGAGUACGACCGCAAGGUUGAAACUCAAAGGAAUGACGGGACCCGCACAAGCGGUGGAGCAUGGUGGUUUAAUUCGAA
rnacentral:rRNA from 1 species